CCUACGGGGGGCAGCAGUGGGGAAUAUUGCACAAUGGGCGCAAGCCUGAUGCAGCCAUGCCGCGUGUGUGAAGAAGGCCUUCGGGUUGUAAAGCACUUUCAGCGGGGAGGAAGGCGGUGAGGUUAAUAACCUCAUCGAUUGACGUUACCCGCAGAAGAAGCACCGGCUAACUCCGUGCCAGCAGCCGCGGUAAUACGGAGGGUGCAAGCGUUAAUCGGAAUUACUGGGCGUAAAGCGCACGCAGGCGGUCUGUCAAGUCGGAUGUGAAAUCCCCGGGCUCAACCUGGGAACUGCAUUCGAACCUGGCAGGCUAGAGUCUUGUAGAGGGGGGUAGAAUUCCAGGUGUAGCGGUGAAAUGCGUAGAGAUCUGGAGGAAUACCGGUGGCGAAGGCGGCCCCCUGGACAAAGACUGACGCUCAGGUGCGAAAGCGUGGGGGGCAAACAGGAUUAGAUACCCGUGUAGUC
rnacentral:rRNA from 1 species